UACGAAGGGGGCUAGCGUUGCUCGGAAUCACUGGGCGUAAAGGGUGCGUAGGCGGGUCUUUAAGUCAGGGGUGAAAUCCUGGAGCUCAACUCCAGAACUGCCUUUGAUACUGAAGAUCUUGAGUUCGGGAGAGGUGAGUGGAACUGCGAGUGUAGAGGUGAAAUUCGUAGAUAUUAGGAAGAACACCCGUGGCGAAGGCGGCCACCUGGGCCUAACCUGACGCUGAGGCGCGAAAGCGUGGGGAGCAAACAGG
rnacentral:rRNA from 1 species